rnacentral:rRNA from 1 species
CGGACGGGUGAGUAACACGUGAGCAACCUGCCUUUCAGAGGGGGAUAACGUUUGGAAACGAACGCUAAUACCGCAUAACGUAUACGGAUGGCAUCGUCUGUAUACCAAAGGAGCAAUCCGCUGAAAGAUGGGCUCGCGUCCGAUUAGCUAGAUGGUGAGGUAACGGCCCACCAUGGCGACGAUCGGUAGCCGGACUGAGAGGUUGACCGGCCACAUUGGGACUGAGACACGGCCCAGACUCC